rnacentral:rRNA from 1 species
UACGUAGGCAGCAAGCGUUGUUCGGAAUUACUGGGCGUAAAGAGUGUGUAGGCGGUGCUCUAAGUUCGGUGUGAAAUCUCCUGGCUCAACUGGGAGGGUGCGCCGGAAACUGGAGUGCUUGAGCGUGGGAGAGGAAAGCGGAAUUCCUGGUGUAGCGGUGAAAUGCGUAGAUAUCAGGAGGAACACCUGUGGUGUAGACAGCUUACUGGACCACUUCUGACGCUGAGACACGAAAGCGUGGGUAGCAAACAGG